GUUGUUUUAGCUAUUAGAACUCCUCCUUCUUCUCCUACACCACCUACCCCCUCAACUCCAGCUCAUGGUCCAGUAGCUUCUCCUCCGGCAACAUCUCCGGCGACAUCUCCGGCUACUUCUCCAGUUCCUGCUCCUGUAAAUCAAACACCUACUUCAUCUCCAGGAAAUGCUCCAACUCCGGCAACAUCUCCAGUUCCUGCUCCUGUAAAUCAAACACCUACUUCAUCACCAGGAAAUGCUCCAACUCCGGCGAAUUCUCCGGCUACAUCUCCGUCAACAUCUCAUGCGCCGUCAAUCAAUAGUCCAUCACCUUCUCCAUCGCCGUCAAUAACUCCGGCGACAUCUCCGGCACCGGCGAUUAUUUCACCAUCCGGAGCCAUAACAGCUCCAUCGCCUUCAUCGAGUGGCUCAUCAUCAUCAUCUCCAACUUCUUCUCCGGCAACAAGUACGUCGGGAUCACCAGGGAAGUCAUCGCCGGGAAGUAUUGCUCCGGAAACCGGCGGUGGGAACUCACCGCCGGCGGAUAUUCAGUCACCUACUGGUUCAACGCCCAACAGCAAGAAUUCAGCAGUAAAAGCAUUUACUCCUUCAGCUGUAUUGAUGUCAAUCGUUUUGACUAUAGUUUUCGGUGGAUUCGUCGUUUCUC
rnacentral:lncRNA from 1 species